UACUCAGGUGUCAAUCAAGUUGCCGAACCGUGCCGAAGUUGUACGAAAGAAUGACAUCAUCCUCAGGGGGCGUGUCAGAGGUAAAAAAGGUUAAUUACUGAAGUUCGUGACCUAUGACCAGGGUCAUUGUCGCGUAGUUCGACAUAAAAAGUGGUACGAGAUUUAUCAAAGGAUAGAGAAAUGUCAGAUGCUGUUUCGUGGCCAAACAACCUUGCUUGGAGCCUCUACUGGACCCGCACAAAGGGUGGUGGAAGAACCUCAUGCUGCUGAAACAGCAAAGAAGGCCAUGGAGCAGAGUCAGCCUGACCCCCAGCCUCUGCCCCUGCCCCUAGUCUACUGCACCUGUGGAAGCAAGAGUUGCAACACAAUUUUCAAUGGUAAGAAUUACUAUUUAACUUUUUUAAUAAUACCACUUAAGUAUGAGCUCAAUUAAAAUUCAAGAAAGUUCAGAACGUAAGAAGAAGAAAAAAAGAAAAAGCAAGAAUGCUAUGAGAUGCUGGCUGACCUACUAAUUGUCACCCCUCUUGUACAGUGGGGGCACCUGUUGUCUGCUGAAUGGUCAGUUUGAAUAUCUCA